GAAUAUUGGACAAUGGGGGGAACCCUGAUCCCGCCAUUCCGCGGGUGUGGAGAGGGCCUUUUGGUUGUAAAGCAAUUUAAGCGAGGAGGAGGCUACUUAGAUUAAUACUCUAGGAUAGUGGACGUUACUCGCAGCAUAAGCACCGGCUAACGCUGGCCCAGCCGCCGCGGUAAUACAUAGGGUGCAAGCGUUAAUCGGAUUUACUGGGCGUAAAGCGCGCGUAGGUGGCCAAUUAAGUCAAAUGUGAAAUCCCCGAGCUUAACUUGGGAAUUGCAUUCGAUACUGGUUGGCUAGAGUAUGGGAGAGGAUGGUAGAAUUACAGGGGUAGCGGUGAAAUGCGUAGAGAUCUGGAGGAAUACCGAUGGCGAAGGCAGCCAUCUGGCCUAAUGCUGACACUGAGGUGCGAAAGAAUGGGGAGCAAACA
rnacentral:rRNA from 1 species